CUUGAUGGAGCCGAGCCGCAGCGGCCGGUCCUCGGGGCGGUCCUGUCCGUAGGUGGCGAGGAGUGCCUGCGCCUC
rfam:Streptomycetaceae bacterium MP113-05 genomic scaffold scaffold00021, whole genome shotgun sequence.